GUUGGGUUGGUUGGGUUGGCAUUAAUUGUGUUGGAUGGUCUGGGGUCUUUUGGGUUGCUUGAUUGGUGUUGGACAUGUGCGCUGGUGGCAGACACCUGGGCUCGGUUGGGGUUCAGAAUGGGGUUGUGGGCAGACAUCUAGGAGGGCUGCGGGGGAAACACAGCCCCCUCCUCUGUCCUUCUGCCCCCUGCAAGCCCCCUGGCGCUGCCCCCCAGGAGCACUUCGGCCUCUGUUGAUGAGAACUGUUACGAGGACAUUGGUAGCACCUGGAUGUCAUCCGACAGCAUCGUCCUCAAGAACAAAAACGCCACCGAACCAGGUGACAGCCUACGGAGCUUCACGGCCUCACAGCAACGGGUGAACACCAACAUCCCGAUGCAGAUCACCAGACCCUCAGUGCGACCCCGGUUGUGACCCAGGUCUUCGCUGGCCCCUCCUCACCUCAUUGCCCACCAGCACUUCCAGGACCUUCUCAACGACGCUCAUUCCAAGGGCAACGUUGCCUCCUGCUCACCUUGGUGCCAACCAGAACUUCCAGAACCUUCUCAACGACGCUGAUUCCAAUAUCAUCGUUGGCUCCUCCUCACCUCAUUGCCCACCAGGACCUCCAGGACCUUCUCAAUGAUGCUGCUUCCAAGGACUUCGUUGCCUCCUGCUCACUGCAGCACCCACGGUAGUAAUGGGGCUGGGAACAAUUUGGGAAGACUCAGCCAGGACUCAACACUGGGAGACCCAACCAUGUCUGGAAAUGCUCUUGGAAGACCCAACCAAGGCUGGAGGCAAUCUGAAGGAUCCUGGUGGAGCCAGAAGCGGCCCAGCAGUGACUGGAAAUGGGCUUGGCAGGAGCCGGGCACGUUUAUUUGCUCAGCGAGAAGGAGGAGGAAAACCUCUUUUUUGCAGAUCCUGGCAGUGGGUGAUGGGACUCCCCGCCACCCCUUGGCCAUCCCACUUAGGGAUGGGCAAUCCCAAUAAAAAUUCUGUGCAUCCCCAAAAAAA